UACAGAGGUCCCAAGCGUUGUUCGGAUUCACUGGGCGUAAAGCGCGCGUAGGUGGCUUCGUAAGUCCGUUGUGAAAGUCAAAGGCUCAACCUUUGAAAGCCGAUGGAUACUGUGAAGCUAGAGUACGGAAGAGGCGAGUGGAAUUCCUGGUGUAGCGGUGGAAUGCGCAGAUAUCAGGAGGAACACCGGUGGCGAAGGCGGGUCUCUGGGCCGAAACUGACGCUGAGGAGCGAAAGCGUGGGGAGCGAACAGG
rnacentral:rRNA from 1 species